UUGACCGUGGCAAGUAGCAUAAUCAAUUGUCUUUUAAUUGAAGGCUUGUAUGAAAGGUUGAAUGAGAUAUAAACUAUUUAUAUUUAAUAAAAAUUGAAUUUUAAUUAUUCAUAAAAAUGUGAAUGUAAUAAUAAAAGACGAGAAGACCCUAUAAAUCUUAAUUAUUUUAUUUUAAUUUAUAUAUAAUGAAAAAUUGAUUAAAUUUUAAUAAAAUAAUUUUAUUGGGGUGAUAAUUAAAUUUAUAAAACUUUAAUUUUUUAUUUAUAAUUAUAAUUAUUUUUUUGAUCCAUUAAUAAUGAAUGUAAAAUUAAGUUACUUUAGGGAUAACAGCGUAAUUAUUUUAAAGAGUUCUUAUCGAUAAAAUAGAUUGCGACCUCGAUGUUGAAUUAAGAGCUAAGUUUAAAG
rnacentral:rRNA from 1 species